rnacentral:rRNA from 1 species
UUAACACAUGCAAGUCGAGGGGCAGCAUGGUCUUAGCUUGCUAAGACUGAUGGCGACCGGCGCACGGGUGAGUAACACGUAUCCAACCUGCCGUCUACUCUUGGACAGCCUUCUGAAAGGAAGAUUAAUACAAGAUGGCAUCAUGAGUCCGCAUGUUCACAUGAUUAAAGGUAUUCCGGUAGACGAUGGGGAUGCGUUCCAUUAGAUAGUAGGCGGGGUAACGGCCCACCUAGUCUUCGAUGGAUAGGGGUUCUGAGAGGAAGGUCCCCCACAUUGGAACUGAGACACGGUCCAAACUCCUACGGGAGGCAGCAGUGAGGAAUAUUGGUCAAUGGGCGAGAGCCUGAACCAGCCAAGUAGCGUGAAGGAUGACUGCCCUAUGGGUUGUAAACUUCUUUUAUAAAGGAAUAAAGUCGGGUAUGCAUACCCGUUUGCAUGUACUUUAUGAAUAAGGAUCGGCUAACUCCGUGCCAGCAGCCGCGGUAAUACGGAGGAUCCGAGCGUUAUCCGGAUUUAUUGGGUUUAAAGGGAGCGUAGAUGGAUGUUUAAGUCAGUUGUGAAAGUUUGCGGCUCAACCGUAAAAUUGCAGUUGAUACUGGAUAUCUUGAGUGCAGUUGAGGCAGGCGGAAUUCGUGGUGUAGCGGUGAAAUGCUUAGAUAUCACGAAGGACUCCGAUUGCGAAGGCAGCCUGCUAAGCUGCAACUGACAUUGAGGCUCGAAAGUGUGGGUAUCAAACAGGAUUAGAUACCCUGGUAGUCCACACGGUAAACGAUGAAUACUCGCUGUUUGCGAUAUACUGCAAGCGGCCAAGCGAAAGCGUUAAGUAUUCCACCUGGGGAGUACGCCGGCAACGGUGAAACUCAAAGGAAUUGACGGGGGCCCGCACAAGCGGAGGAACAUGUGGUUUAAUUCGAUGAUACGCGAGGAACCUUACCCGGGCUUAAAUUGCAGAUGAAUUACGGUGAAAGCCGUAAGCCGCAAGGCAUCUGUGAAGGUGCUGCAUGGUUGUCGUCAGCUCGUGCCGUGAGGUGUCGGCUUAAGUGCCAUAACGAGCGCAACCCUUGUUGUCAGUUACUAACAGGUUCCGCUGAGGACUCUGACAAGACUGCCAUCGUAAGAUGUGAGGAAGGUGGGGAUGACGUCAAAUCAGCACGGCCCUUACGUCCGGGGCUACACACGUGUUACAAUGGGGGGUACAGAGGGCCGCUACCACGCGAGUGGAUGCCAAUCCCCAAAACCUCUCUCAGUUCGGACUGGAGUCUGCAACCCGACUCCACGAAGCUGGAUUCGCUAGUAAUCGCGCAUCAGCCACGGCGCGGUGAAUACGUUCCCGGGCCUUGUACACACCGCCCGUCAAGCCAUGGGAGCCGGGGGUACCUGAAGUGCGUAACCGCGAGGAGCGCCCUAGGGUAAAACUGGUGACUGCG